rnacentral:misc_RNA from 1 species
GUUGUUGUCUGUUUCGUUUGGUGGACCAAAAAACAAGAAAAUAUUAGCUAAGCGAAAAGUUGUUAAAAUAUAUAUGUGCAGCGGUCGGUGCAAGUGCUUUAUGGGUACAUAGUGCAUAUGUACACAACGCGACAUGGGCAUGGUGGAGGCGUCAACGUCGGAGCUGCGCCUGGAGGCCCCCAACUCGUACACGUACCUCCUGGCGACCGUCAGCCUGACGCUCACUUUCAUCGUGAUGCUGGGCGCUUGUUUAUGCUGCAAGAAGCGGAUCCCCAAAAAUGACUUGAUGGGCCUGGAGGGCAUGGUCAAGCUGAAGAAUCCGGAUGAGGUCAUUGUGGUGACCAACCUGGUGGGCAACAGCGAGUCCCAGGCGGAGCUGAAUGCCUCCACUGUGUCCAAUGCGGACUCGGAGAAGCGAUCGAGCACUGCUGCCCAUCGCAGUUUGCCUGACAUUCCCGUGGCCGAGAGCAAUGAUAAUGGGUCCGAACUAUACGAAACCGUGGCGGACAAGCAACUGUUAGAUGGUCGCAAUGCCCGUAGCCAAAGUCCACAGCCAAGCAUGAAGAAACAGACCAGCGUGUCGCAGCACAGCUCCAUUAGCCAGGCAGACGAUGUAAGUUCGCCGUACUCGCGGGUGAAGGGUCUGCCGCACGAUUACGCCAAGGUGCGGGGCACCGAGCAUCCCUACGCCCAGCUGAAUGCCCCAUCCACGUCCCAUGCGACCAACCACAGCUCCACAGCAGCAGCUGCGGCGGCGGCAGUGGUGGCCGGAUCCUCUAGCGACGGUAUAGAUCCAAUGCAUCGCAACUCACAGCACAGCGAUGGGUCCAGGGAGCACAAUGACUCAGCGCCGUCAGAGGCUGAGAUUCCAGCUGCCUCUGCGAUUGCAGGUAUGAUUUCUGCUAGCCAAGAUCUUCCCUACAUGACGCCCCCCAUCGCCAACCAACAUUUUAGUGGGGACUCACAAGACUCAUCGAAGGGAUACACAAGCAUUAGUGUGAGGGAGCCGCUAGCGAACAUUUUGGCCCAACAGCCACCAGGGAAACCCCCGAACAGGAACCCAACAUUAUCGCGGGAUGUUAAUGACUCUCACUACGCCACUGUUUCUGACGAUUCGGAUGAGACUUAUGCGGCCAUUGAGGAUCCCAAUAAUCGUCAUCAGGCCAACGCCGCGGAUAUAUACACAAGCGGAUCGGAGACCUACGCGCAAAUCCAGCCUAUGCAGGCCAAUCCCAUAGUGGUGGCUGUCGAGAUCAAUAACAGCAGCAGUCUUCCGACCGCUAGUACGUCCGCGGUACGACCCACCAGCAGCAGUGGUGCUGAUCAUGCUAUGCCAGUUCCACCGCCGGUGGACAGUUUGCGAGCCCAGAUGCACUCGCGUCAGGCCUCAUCCUCGUCGAACAAUAGCUCGUCUGUCUGCAAUUUGGGGUCACCCAAACCGGAGAAGCGCCAGGCGAAUUCGCCACUACCACCCACGCCCAAGGCAAGUGCAGGCCAGUCGCAUCAUUUGCAGGCCGGUAGUAUUAGCAACCUAGCCUCUGGACGGAAUUCCGUCAUAUCAGUGAUCGAAGCGGGCGCGGAAGGGCACGAGGCGGAGUCUGGAGAGGCGUCGCCACAGCGCAAGCACAGCAAGAGCCUCAGUCCCUCCAAGGAUGGCGAGGGCAACAAAAACAUUGAGGGCAUGUACGCGAAGGUCAUGAAAAAGCACAAAUUCUCGAGAAACUCGCCGUCCUCUCAAAACAGCUCCCCUAUUCUGGCACGGAAACAGCAGCAAGAUGCUUUGGGAGUCAGUCCGCUGGACAGUGCUGCGGCGUUGUUAGUGGAUGCCCAGAAGGGUCGCGUGCGAAGCAAUAGCUAUUCAGCCAAGGAUCAUGGGUAUGAAACGAUUCCAGCCGACGGACAGAUGAUGCACGAGAAUCGGAAGUCGGAUUGCUAUGCAGCCAACAUGUUACAAAAGGAAAGACAGCAUGAAGGAGGAGUUGCUAUGCCAAAAUGAAAUAUGUCCGUGUUUGUUAAACUAAAACACCGCAAAUUUCAUGAGUUUUUCUUUGGAAGUAGCCGUGCGAUUGCCCAGCCCGUGACGAUAGCAACAGCAAUAGCGAUCAGCGCCAGCGCAAAGCACUACGAGACUAUUCUCAACAAGACACAGCCGCC